AGAGUUUGAUCCUGGCUCAGAGUGAACGCUGGCGGCAGGCCUAACACAUGCAAGUCGAACGGCAGCGGGUCGUAGCAAUACGAUGCCGGCGAGUGGCGGACGGGUGAGGAAUACAUCGGAAUCUACCUUGUCGUGGGGGAUAACGUAGGGAAACUUACGCUAAUACCGCAUACGAACUAUGGUUGAAAGCGGCGGACCGCAAGGGUCGCGCGAUUGGAUGAGCCGAUGUCCGAUUAGCUAGUUGGCGGGGUAAAGGCCCACCAAGGCGACGAUCGGUAGCUGGUCUGAGAGGAUGAUCAGCCACACUGGAACUGAGACACGGUCCAGACUCCUACGGGAGGCAGCAGUGGGGAAUAUUGGACAAUGGGGGCAACCCUGAUCCAGCCAUGCCGCGUGUGUGAAGAAGGCCUUCGGGUUGUAAAGCACUUUUGUCCGGAAAGAAAAGCUCUGGGUUAAUACCCCGGGGUCAUGACGGUACCGGAAGAAUAAGCACCGGCUAACUUCGUGCCAGCAGCCGCGGUAAUACGAAGGGUGCAAGCGUUACUCGGAAUUACUGGGCGAAAGCGUGCGUAGGUGCGUUAAGUCUGUCGUGAAAGCCCCGGGCUCAACCUGGGAAUGGCGAUGGAUACUGGCGGGCUAGAGUGCGGUAGAGGAGAGUGGAAUUCCCGGUGUAGCAGUGAAAUGCGUAGAGAUCGGGAGGAACAUCAGUUGCGAAGNNGGCUCUCUGGACCAGCACUGACACUGAGGCACGAAAGCGUGGGGGCAAACAGGAUUAGAUACCCUAGUAGUCC
rnacentral:rRNA from 1 species